rnacentral:lncRNA from 1 species
CAUCUCUGUGUGCCUCUUCCCAUGGUUUCCUGGAGCACCAACCCCACAGCUUCUCACCUCCUGACCCUUUUGCUGCCCACCCCGGGCAGUGGGGCCGGAUGUGCUUUACAUCUCAGGGCUGUGCAUGGAUGUUGCCACAGGUGAUACGGAGUCAGGCGAGCGUAUUGAGUCGGUGGAUGCUCAGACAAGCAUCCAUUUGGAGACGAGUGCUGAGGUGCAGCAUCCCCCCUGAGCACACACCUUGGGCUGUGAGCAUGCAAACACUCAAGCAAGGAACAUUUCAGAACUUUUGCUGUAGUUCCCCGCCCACUUUUUGCAGCAGGACGGCUCCGGGGUGCUGCAGCCCCGCGGCCGGGAGGUGCCGCGCCCGCAUCCAGCUCAGCAUCGCGCAGCACCGCGGGGCAGGAGGGGGCUGCGGUGCUCCUGGGGGACUGCGGCCGGCAUCGGCUUGUCUCGGGAUGCCGCCGAGCCCCGCUCCCAGCCUUAGGACCCGCCCGCCAGGUGGGGCCGUUGCCGUUCCGGCGAUGCUCGGGGAUGGAUGCGGUGUGCGUGGCUCGGAGGUGCGGGUCGGACACGUGAGGAUGUCGGGUUGGAACCGGGCCGGGUGCAGCAGGGUGCUGCGAUGCGCUGAGCGGAAAGCUGUUCCAUCGCUGACCUCAGGGCUCCUUCGGUCCGUGCUGCAGCUGAAACAAACAGCAGUUCUUCAUCCACCCCGCUUCCCUGCUUGGCCCUCAGUGUGCCGCGGCCGGAUGCCCUCUUCCCCACGAAGGUCCUUUGGUGGCUGUGCUCGGGACGACAGAGCUCGGGGCUUCGGGACAGCCUCUGCGCCAGAGAAUGGUGCAGAUGUGUCGUGCACUCUCCUGGUGGAUCAUUUCCCUCGUGCUUCUCCUGGUGGGGCAGGAUGGCUAUAUGCAAGGCAAGGCAGUGUGCAAGGGGAUGGCAGAGUGCAAGGCACCCUUUUCUGCCCGUUUGUGCCUCUGAUAUUGCAGGAGCUUGUGCAAAGCACAGCCUGGGAGCAGCACUGCUGGCUGGCACAGGACAGGAGCCAUGAUGUGUCCUAGUAGCACUGUGUCUGCAAGAUGUAAGGUGCUUGGAUGCUGGGCUACAAAACACCCUGGGAAGGGCAGCUGGUGGCCUUAAUCCCACCUGUUUUUGUGUGUGUAACACUCCCAAGCUGGUUUCCUAGUGCUGCUGUGGGAGCAUCACAGCAGGCAGAGUAUGGAGUGUUGGCUGCUCCAGUUCCUGCUGUCCUGCACAGGUUCUGCACAGCACCAACCUCCAAUGGGACCGUUUUCAUCUGCCUGCAUCCCUGCCCAGAAGCUCCAAAGCUGUUUCCAUGCAGCAGGGCAGCUUGCAGCGAGCCGACAUUGCGUUCUGGUGGUACCCACUGCCCAAAGUGCAGCUUAAAACCCUUGCAAAAGGGCUUGUACUGCUUAUCAUGCUGCAUUCAGCCCUUAUCACUGGUGUACAUCUGCUACAUAUUGCACACCAUGUCGGGGUCAGCUGAGAGCUGGGAUGAGUUAGAGGGGCUUGGGAGGGGGUCUGCAUUGCACCAGGGCCGCUGGUGCCAGCUCCAAUUGCUGCACACACACAGCAUUUAGCUUACAACAGAUUAUAAUAUGCAUUCCAGAUGUACGAUGUGAAGCUUUACAGCAUAUCUUAGCUCCUAAUCUUCCCCAUGCCAAUGUGUAUCAUUGCAAUCUACCUACCUACAUCAGACAAAUUACUUUAGUUGUUGCUUCGAAGCCCAAUGCAGCCAACAGACGCAACGCAAUCCUUGCAGCCACCGCCACAGCGUGGAGAUGCCCCCAGCACAGCUCAGAGGAUGGGUUUUAUUCAAAACCAUUUUUAUUCUGUUUUUCAUUCUUUUAGUUAAAAAUGAGUAUAUGAGGAGGGCAUAUUAAAUGCUGAUCUUCUUGCUCAACUAUUUGCUAAUGUAAUUUUUUGGUACUGCAUCACGGGGACGAUCUGAAUUCUUUUAUUUUCAUGUAAAAGUGCUGUCACAAAUCCAAGCAAGUUUUCAGUGUGAUGAGGCACUUAAAGAAGAGUUUUUCUUUUUUGCUGUUGUUGUUAUUGAUGUCUCCUGAAAAGGAUAUCCUUAAGAUAUAGGGACAGCUAUAGCUGCUGGUACUCUGAAUUGCUAUGAAGGCUCACACUGCAAAGAGAGCCUUGACAAUGAUGGAUAACCUCCACAACUUCUCAAUAGCAGAUUUUGUUUAUCCUGCCUCUUCUUUGUGUUUGUGGCUGGUUUUUCACUCGGGGCUACUCUCAGCCUUUAAACACCAGCUCUGCAGCUCUCGCAUAACCUCCCUCCCUAAGACAGGGGAGGCUUAGGUUGGAUAUUAGGAGGAAGUUUUCCACACAGAGGGUGGUGAGGCACUGGAACAGGUUGCCCAAGGAGGCUGUGGAUGCCCCAUCCCUGCAGGCAUUCAAGGCCAGGCUGGAUGUGGCUCUGGGCAGCCUGGGCUGCUGGUUGGUGACCUGCACAUAGCAGGGGGUUGGGACUGGAUGAGCACUGUGGUUCUUUUUGACCCAGGCCAUUCUAGGAUUCCCUCUUCCCACUGCUGUAAACAGACAAUGGGCACAGCUGCACGUCCCACAGGAAGCCCCUGUGCCCCACAUUGACAGCAGUGGGUUUGGGUGAAAGUUGUGAUUCCUGAGUGACUUUGUGUGUGUGUCACAGAGCAAGGGAUGCUGCGAAUGGCCAAAUCUUCAGAGCCUUUGCUCUUGGCCAUGCACAGAUCAGGAGCAGAGCCCAGGAUGCCGCAGGGCUUCCCACCAUCUCUGUGACUUUUUCCCCUCCUUCUCUUGGAGUUCUUUGGUUUUGGUUGAAAGGUUUUAAUAAAAUCACUGCUCUAAUAUGGGAAGACUUUUCC